rnacentral:rRNA from 1 species
UGGGGAAUCUUGCACAAUGGGGGAAACCCUGAUGCAGCGACGCCGCGUGAGCGAUGAAGGUUUUCGAAUCGUAAAGCUCUGUCCUAUGGGAAGAUAAUGACGGUACCAUAGGAGGAAGCCCCGGCUAACUACGUGCCAGCAGCCGCGGUAAUACGUAGGGGGCGAGCGUUGUCCGGAAUUACUGGGCGUAAAGGGUUCGCAGGCGGCAUGACAAGUCCGAUGUAAAAGGCGAAAGCUCAACUUUCGUAAGCAUCGGAAACUGUCAAGCUUGAGUGAGGGAGAGGCAAGUGGAAUUCCUAGUGUAGCGGUGGAAUGCGUAGAUAUUAGGAGGAAUACCGGUGGCGAAGGCGACUUGCUGGACUUCAACUGACGCUGAGGAACGAAAGCGUGGGUAGCAAACAGG